rnacentral:tRNA from 1 species
UGGCCCGUGGUGUAAUUGGUAACACAGCGGUUUUUGGUACCGUUAUUCGGGGUUCGAGUCCCUGCGGGCCAACCA